AAUUAAAUAAUUAGUGUAUUGAGAAUGUCGAAUAAGAAUAAUUUUGGAAAAUAAUAAAUUCAGAAUGUAGUGUUUGAGUUAUUUAUUAUGAUAAUUUUUGUAGGGAAAUUAAUUAUUUUCAAUAAAAUGACAAUAAUAUUAUUUAAUCGGAUGUCACGUUUUUACAAGAAUAUUUAUUUAUUUUUAUUUUCUCUUACGGCCCUGACGCAACGCUAUACACAGUAAUAUCAUAAGUUUAUCGGCAACGUCCUGCUGAACUCGACAGAAUUAAGCUAAUGAGACACUGACGUUCACAGGCAUCGUACCACAAGUUUCGUUUGUCGUCUGAAAAGUUUUUCGAUUUUCUUCUCCCAACUCGCGCGCGCGCUAUUAAUUUCAAUAUACAAAACCAAAGUCUUAGUUUUUGUUUGUCUUUUGAAAAUUUUUCACUAGUGUAAUUUUUUUUCCUACUGUUUUUCCCCGAGAAGAAUUAAAUUUCCGAUUUGAAACAAGAUAAUGAAAAUAAAAUUUUUCAAUUUUAGUUAAUAAUAAAAGAUUGUGUAAACCAGUGAGGGGGAGGGGGAGACAAAAAAUGUCUAGUAGAAGUGAAAUUAUUUUUUCAAAAUCAAUUUGUUUUUAAAGUGAAAAAUAUUUUUAGUGAUUACGUUUGGUAUUUUUAAAAAUUAGGUAGUACUUCAGUGCCCGAUAAAGUGAGUCGAGACAACAAGAUUGCAAAAAAAACAAAAUCAAAAACCAUCAAGACAAGAUCGCCCCAUGGAAAUAGAAGUUCAAUAGCGAGCAAGGUCUGGGACACAUUGGCAGCAG